AGUGAACGCUGGCGGCAGGCCUAAUACAUGCAAGUCGAACGGCAGCACAGCAGAGCUUGCUCUGUGGGUGGCGAGUGGCGGACGGGUGAGGAAUACGUGGGAAUCUGCCCAGUCGUGGGGGAUAACGUAGGGAAACUUACGCUAAUACCGCAUGCGCCCUUCGGGGAAAGCCGGGGACCUUCGGGCCUGGCGCGAUUGGAUGAGCCCACGUCGGAUUAGCUAGUUGGCGGGGUAAAGGCCCACCAAGGCGACGAUCCGUAGCUGGUCUGAGAGGAUGAUCAGCCACACUGGAACUGAGACACGGUCCAGACUCCUACGGAGGCAGCAGUAGGGAAUAUUGGACAAUGGGCGCAAGCCUGAUCCAGCCAUGCCGCGUGAGUGAAGAAGGCCCUCGGGUUGUAAAGCUCUUUUGUCCGGAAAGAAAA
rnacentral:rRNA from 1 species